AUACGGAGGAUCCGAGCGUUAUCCGGAUUUAUUGGGUUUAAAGGGAGCGUAGGUGGACAGUUAAGUCAGUUGUGAAAGUUUGCGGCUCAACCGUAAAAUUGCAGUUGAUACUGUCAGUCUUGAGUGUGCAUGAGGUGGGCGGAAUUUGUGGUGUAGCGGUGAAAUGCUUAGAUAUCACGAAGAACUCCGAUUGCGAAGGCAGCUCACUAGACUGUUACUGACACUGAUGCUCGAAAGUGUGGGUAUCAAACAGGAUUAGAUACCCUGGUAGUCCACACAGUAAACGAUGAAUACUCGCUGUUUGCGAUAUACAGUAAGCGGCCAAGCGAAAGCAUUAAGUAUUCCACCUGGGGAGUACGCCGGCAACGGUGAAACUCAAAUGAAUUGACGGGG
rnacentral:rRNA from 1 species